rnacentral:rRNA from 1 species
GACGAACGCUGGCGGCGUGCUUAACACAUGCAAGUCGAACGGGCCUGUCUUCUUUUUUGGGGGUGGGUUGAGUGGCGAACGGGUGAGUAUCACGUGAGUAACCUGCCCUUCGGUCCUGGAUAACCGCUUGAAAGGGCGGCUAAUACGGGGUGGUCCGGUUGGUCCGCAUGGGCUGGUCGGGAUAGAUUCACUGUUUUUGGGGUUUCGGCGGGGGAUGGGCUCGCGGCCUAUCAGCUUGUUGGUGGGGUGAUGGCCUACCAAGGCGGUGACGGGUAGCCGGCCUGAGAGGGCGGGCGGCCACACUGGGACUGAGAUACGGCCCAGACUCCUGCGGGAGGCAGCAGUGGGGGGUAUUGCACAAUGGGCGGAAGCCUGAUGCAGCGACGUCGCGUGAGGGAUGGAGGCCUUCGGGUUGUGAACCUCUGUUUCCGGUGGUGAAGGCCCUGUCCGUGUGGUGGGGUUGACGGUAGCCGGGGAUGAAGCGCCGGCUAACUACGUG